AAGAACCAUAGAGACAGCUCUGGUCUCAUCUCCUGUCAGAUCAGCCUGUGGGCCAAAGUAUCCCUCGUCGCAGGUGCGUGUCAGGUCCUAGACGGUGGAGCUGCGGCCUGCGCCAACGGCAAGGCUACAGCGUGCCCUCUCGCCGCAGGCAAGUUCUGACACGUGCGGCGAGCGUCGACAGCGGCGGCCACGGCUUUCGAAGUUUUGCGUGUGGCGCGAGCACUCUCCCUCACCCGUGCACACGUUCCCAUGAGCGCGGAUGAACUCGUUCCGGGGCAAGUACCUGGUCAGGCGCGACGGCACCAUCAUCGCAGCCGCAUUGCGCUCCAAGCGCCUCAUCUGCCUCUACUUCGCGGCCCAGUGGUGUCCUCCCUGCGUGACCUUCACGCCAAUACUGGCCGACGCCUACCGCAAGGCCAAGAGCCAAGGACUGCCCGUCGAGGUAGUGUACGUGUCCUCUGACCGAAACGAGGACGAAAUGAACGACUUCCUGAACAGCACCAACGAAAACUGGCCUGCGCUUCCCUACGGUGACAACAUGCAGUUCGCCCUCAAGGCCCGGUACAAGAUCGCCGGCAUACCGACGCUGGUGGUACUCAGGGCCGACGGCAGGCUGGUGUGCGCCAACGGCAGGUCCCAAAUCGUGGCCAAGUCCCACCUGGCGUUCGCGGACUGGCUCUCCUCCUCCUGAAGAAAGGGCCAACAAAUAUAUGCGCCACGGAAUGGCCAACAUUACAGCGUCCAAUUUGUGCGGCUGUGACGAGACGACAGAGCACCCUCUGUGCCACUGUCCAUCCUUCGACGUUCGACGAUUUGCCCUGCAAGCUAUAGACUCGACCUCUUUGAUGACAGACCGCUCUAGGAAUAAACGGGUCCGUGUUCCUCGGCCACUGGCAUUCUGCCGUGGCCACACAAAGCCCUACUGCACUUUGCGAAGGCGAACGGACUGUACGAAUGCUUGUGGCUAUUACAGAAUAUUUCUCUGCGA